rnacentral:rRNA from 1 species
CCUACGGGUGGCUGCAGUGGGGAAUAUUGGACAAUGGGCGAAAGCCUGAUCCAGCCAUGCCGCGUGUGUGAAGAAGGCCUUCGGGUUGUAAAGCACUUUCAGUGGGGAAGAAAGCCUUGGGGCUAAUACCCUCGAGGAAGGACAUCACCCACAGAAGAAGCACCGGCUAACUCCGUGCCAGCAGCCGCGGUAAUACGGAGGGUGCGAGCGUUAAUCGGAAUUACUGGGCGUAAAGCGCGCGUAGGCGGUCUGAUAAGCCGGUUGUGAAAGCCCCGGGCUCAACCUGGGAACGGCAUCCGGAACUGUCAGGCUAGAGUGCAGGUGAGGAAGGUAGAAUUCCCGGUGUAGCGGUGAAAUGCGUAGAGAUCGGGAGGAAUACCAGUGGCGAAGGCGGCCUUCUGGACUGACACUGACGCUGAGGUGCGAAAGCGUGGGUAGCAAACAGGAUUAGAUACCCCAGUAGUC